AAUCCCUGGGUGGAAUAAGUUUUAUUAAACUGUUCCAAGUACUCCUGGCUGUUCACUAAGUUUUUCUCAGGUUCCCAAGAAUUGUCUGUCUUCAACUUUCCAUUCCUCUUGCAUGUCUAUAAUUAUCAGUUCUGCUUGCGGGAUUUGUCCGUUGCGCGUGUGAUAUGGUUUGAGAAGGGAAACAUGGAAUAUGAGAUGAAUUCCUUUAUAUUGCAGU
rnacentral:sRNA from 1 species